GGGAUGUUAUUUUGGGCAGUGCAUCUGGACUUGGUUCAAGUGGCACCAGCCAAAUCCCUGCCUUACUGACCUCUCCCCUGGAGGAGCAGGAGCAGCGCUCAAGGCCGCCUUGGGAGGGCUGAGAGGCAGGCUCUGGACUGGGGACACAGGGAUAGCUGAGCCCCAGCUGGGGGUGGAAGCUGAGCCAGAGACAGUCACAGAGGAACAAGAUCAAGAUGCGCUUUAACUGAGAAGCCCCCAAGGCAGAGGCUGAGAAUCAGAAGACAUUUCAGCAGAAACAUACAUAUGAUAGUUGAGAAAGACACAUAUUCUGAUCAUGAAGAAAUAAACACAAGUUAAAUAUGACUAAGCAGAAAGAUGGAAGGACCAGGAACGGUGAUGCUAACUUGGAACCACGAUGCAGGCUCUAAUCUCCUCUACAAUCAUCCUCCCUUGUGAGAAAAAUACAUAAGAUCUAAGGCACAUGAGAUGAUACGCUUUCUGUUUGAGUUUCUCCUUUAUGUUACGCAUACUGAUAAAAUUGUUGACGCCAGUUGAUCUGAAGGUCCCAGCAAGGAGCCGACUCACAGAAGAAUGCAGU
rnacentral:lncRNA from 1 species